UUGCAUUGUUAGGGGUGUGGGGAGGGAAAGGGGAUGAAUGGACAUCAGUGUUUCCAGAAAAAUGUGUCUAUUGUUACCUCCCAGCAAAUGAUGAUGUGUUGGGAAGUCGCAGGCUCUGGGUGUCAGGAUGGGAACACAGCAAUGGGAAGAGUGGAACCGACAGCAGGAGGCCAGCAGGAAGCUUGGGUUUCAUUGGGGGUAUUUUAAACACUGCUGUUCUGGGGUCUUGGAGAAGUGAUUUUUCUUGCACUGAAACUUGUAAUCUUCAACUGUGCAUUAGACUUGGUUUGACUUGAGGUAAAAAAGGCGGUUAUGUAACAACAGUGCACCCGGUCAUUAUAUCCGGUUAGAAGAGUGUCUGUGAAUAAUUAUAUUUUUAGUGACUCCUUACAUAUCUAUAAACAGGGGUUGUGACUUCUGGUUACCCAAGGAACAGGUAAGCUAAUGGGUAAGGUUGGAGCCAGGAAAGAAUAGGUUUUGUCCCCCCUGCUUAUGUACAGAUGUCAAAUAUGACCCGUAAACUGAAGCAUAUCUCCAAUUUCAAAUUGCCAUUUAGCUUCCCCAGUGGUCCAGUUAAUUCAGUGUGCUUCCAUCUAGAAUCUGUGAUGUUUAGUGGUUGUUUGCUAGUAUCUCCAGUUACCAUUUUAUAUAAAGACAGUGAUCCUAGGGCCAGGCCAUUUUUGUCUUCCCUAAUGCCACAUGGUAUGACACUGGUGUUACCAAGGAGUGCAUUCCUCUCAGUUGUUGAUACUUCAGGAUACAGGUCUAAGUAUGCCUGUCUUUGAUGGCACCAACUUUAGCAACAAUGCAUAAUAAAUUUAUAUGUUGAAUAAAGCCUGUUUAAACUGGGCAAGGUUUUCAAGUUUGAAUCCAUGGAUUAAAAAAUAGCCAAGAAAAAAAAAAUAACCACUCCAGCUUCAGUGUAGACCACAUCAUCUGUGCACAAUUACCGCCUUAAGCAGCCACAUGUUGUACAGUGUAGUUGCAUGUCAACAGUGUGAAUGACUGGCCAAGGGGGGGCCUGUGGAGCUCUGGAAGAAUUUUCAUCAUUGUUAUUUAAUGUUCUUUCCAAGCAUUCCUCAAAGAGAGAAGGCCUGAGAGUUCCUAUUUAAAGAAGGAACAUUCCAAAUUAUGUUAAUAACCACGUGUGUAUUAAAGGCAACUUGGCCCCCAACUGUUUCUUCCUUGUGGAUGAUUUUAAAAGUCCAAAAUAUGUGGGAAGCCACAGUGAAAUCUUUCAAGACCUAAACCUCCAAUUAUUUCUACCACUAAUGGUUGGAAAGGUGGGGAUUGGAUGGGGCAGUGUAGGGAUCUGAAGCUUGAGUCUCACCUAGGGUGGGAUGUGGGCUCCUUGGCAAUUUUUCAUGGCUUGCAGCUUGAGAUAGGUGGGAGAAUGGAUGGGGAUUUUUGUUUUUUUAAUCCUCAGCCGUGUCUGAAUGUUGCCAUUACCAGCUUCAUGCAUGCAGGGGGAGACUUUCAUUCAUGGAAGGAAUAAAUUGCUGAACUGGGUGACCAGGGUUGUGUUCUUAGAACUGCCAUUCACAAAACUUAAGCAAGUCACAAAUAGGAGCCAUAUUAUUCCCAAGCUUGCAUUUAUCAGAUGAAGGGGAGAAUUUUCUAAUUUCAUAAUGAUCAAUGAGGGUUGAGUAGAUUGAUUUCUCAAGGAACUGGUCCUUUAUAUUCUGGGUCUUUCUUGAUUUUCUCUAUAUACAUAGUAGGUGUAUUAGCAUUCUGCUCUGUUGGUAAGAAUUUCAAGACAUAUUAUAAAGAGUUUGAAGGACGAUGUGAAUUUUAUAGUAAAACCAAAGUCUCAAAAACAAGUUCCUGGUUAGUUUCAAGUGAGAGAUUUUAAUAUUGACUAAGAGAAAAUAAGCAUCUUGAAAUAUAUCAAACAUGUGAAAUCCCACUAAGAAUGUGUUGUGUAUUAUGUUAGGUUGAGGCUUUAUGAUCACAACUGUUUUGAAAGGGUUAAAAUAGAAGAUUAUUAGGAGAGUGACACACAGACAGAGAUAGAUCCCCUCCACCUCUACAGAGAAAGAGAGAAUGAAUAUACGAAAUGAUAUCCAAGACAUUCAUAGACUCAAAAGUAUGUUUUUGUUGUGAUACAGACUAUCAAGUGCCAGGAAAUUCAAAGGGAAAUGCUUACACUCUGUCCUUAAUUCAUGCCAUGGAAUCUGAAUUCUUGUGCUAUUAUAAAUGACUCAGCAAAUGUUUGCGUGGGCCUGGGUGGUAAAGUGGAAAUAGUGGCUUCUAACUUUGUCCAAUUCUGACUUAUCCCAACUCUUUUGAUUGACAGCAGGUCAGAAUUGGGAGAAAAAGGCCUUUGAAUGUGUGUGCAGAAUGGUAAGAUGCACUAAUUUUGACUUGUAAGCAAGUGUUGAACUAGCAGAUGCUUUUUAGAGGCAUCCCAAGCCACCCCCCAAAAUGAGGAAUUCACUAAGUUGGCUACUGAGUCCUGUUUACCAAGCUAAAUAAGGUUUUAUAACAUGAGAUACUACCCUCCCCAUCUGGAAGGUCAUGAAAUUGAGGUGCCAGGAUGCUACUUAUAACAUGGGCUUGGCCACAGGUGCAGCAGGAAUGUGUGAAUCAGUUCUUUGCAGAGUGGACAGUGAGAGAGAGAGAGAGACUGAGAGAAAGGUCUUCCUUUUCUGUUGGUUCACCCCCCAAUGGCCACUGCGGCCGGCACGCUGUGGCCAGCGCACCGCACUGAUCUGAAGCCAGGAGCCAGGUGCUUCUCCUGGUCUCCCAUGGGGUGCAGGGCCCAAGGACCUGGGCCAUCCUCCACUGCCUUCCCGGGCCACAGCAGAGAGCUGGACUGGAAGAGGAGCAACUGGGACAGAAUCCGGCGCCCCGACUGGGACUAGAACCCGGUGUGCCGGUGCCGCAGGCAGAGGAUUAGCCUAUUGAGCCAUGGCGUCAGCCUAUUGUAUUGCAGAUGAGAUCCAUCUACACAUACAUGUGCACACAGAUAGUCUUGGAACCAGAAGUGGUCAAGAUAUGCAACCUGAAUUCUUACUACUAGAUGACCUGCAUUACAAAAGCCUGCUUUCCCAGAUCCUACUGCUGUAUUCCAGCAUCCUGUUGAUGCACACCCUGGGAGGCAACAGAUGAUGGCUCAACUACUUGAGUUGCUGACACCCACGUGGGAGAUCUGUAUUGACUUCCUGGCUCCUGGAUUUGGCCAGACCUAGUCCCUGCCAUUGCAGGCACUUGAGAAGUUAACCAGUGAUGGGGAGUUCUAUUAAGUUUUGGGGCAGAUGGCCUAAAGGUUAAGACACACAACUUGGGAAGCCCACAUCUCAUUUUGGAGUGCCUGCAUUCAAGUCUGGGCUGGAUUCUAGUUUCUCAGGUGAUUGGGUCCCUACCACACUGUGAAAAACCUGGAUUGAGUUCCUGGCUCCUGGCUUCAGCCUGCCAUAAUAUGGCCCAAGCAGAGUAGGUGGGAAUGGAAGUUCUAAGUCUCUGGCAGGUCCUGAGGCAGUAGUGGUGACACGGUGUUCUUGAGAGAUGACUCCAGCACUGCAGAUCAUCAACUGUGAUGGCCUUGAAGACAUGGCUACAGUUCUCACAUGGCUGUGCGUAUGGUUAAGGCCAGCUAGUUCUAGCCUGAGAAUGCAAUCAGAAAGUCAGCUAAGGCCAGAGUAUGUAAAUUAUCCUCUUUAUGACUAGAAUUUUGUAGGUAGUUUAUAUUUUGUUAUACCUGGGUAUAUUCUACCAAUUUUUUUUGACAGGCAGAGUGGGCAGUGAGAGAGAGACAGAGAGAAAGGUCUUCCUUUUUCCGUUGGUUCACCCUCCCCCACAAUGGCCACUGCGGCUGGUGCACCGCACUGAUCUGAAGCCAGGAGCCAGGUGUUUCUCCUGGUCUCCCAUGUGGGUGCAGGGCCCAAGGACUGCACUCCCGGGCCACAGCAGAGAGCUGUGCAGGAAGAGGAGCAACCAGGACAGAAUCCGGCGCCCUGACUGGGACUAGAACCUGGUGUGCCUGCGCCGCAGGCGGAGGAUUGGCCUAUUGAGCCGCGGCACCAGCCUACCAAUAUUUUUUACUUUUUUUUUUUUUUUAAGAUUUAUUUUAUUUAUCUGAAAGGCACAGUUACAGAGAGAGAUUUGGAGAGACAUGGGGUUGAAAGAGAGAAAGCGCGGGGGGGGGGGGAGGUGCGGGGAGGAGAUCCUCUGGUUCACUCCCCAGAUUGCCACAACGGCCAGGGCUGGCCCAGACAGAACCCAGGAGCUGCUUCUGGGUCGCCCAUGUGGUUGCAGGUGCCCAAGCAUUUGGGCCAUCCUCCAAUGCUUUCCCAGGUGCAUCAGUAGGGAGCCAGAUCAGAAGUGGAACAACUGAACUCCACCCAUAAGGGAUGCCAGUGUAGCAGGUGGCAGUUUUAUGCCACAAUGCCAGGCCCUUUACUGUCUUCUAAAAAGUGACUUGUACUAUCCUCUGAUUUUUAUAAAAGCAUUACAUGUCUUCAUUAGAACUUUUGUAAAGCGCAUAAAUUAGGGGGCCGGCGCCGUGGGGCACUCUGUUAAUCCUCCGCCUGCAGCACCGGCAUCUCAUAUGGGCGCCGGGUUCUAGUUCCAGUUGCUUCUCUUCCAGUCCUACUCUCUACUGUGGCCCUGGAAGGCAGUGGAGGAUGGCCCAGGUGCUUGCGCCCCUGCACCCGCAUGGGAGACCAGGAGGAAGCACCUGGCUCCUGGCUUUGGAUCGGCGCAGCGCCAGCCGUAGCGGCCAUUUGGGGAGUGAACCAACGGAAGGAAGACCUUUCUGUCUCUCUUUCUCACUGUCUGUAACUCUACCUGUAAAAAAAAAAAAAAAAGCACAUAAAUUAUUUAAAAAUUUAAAAUCACAACAUCCUUAUCAGGCAAGAAUAGUAGCUUUGACUUCUACAGAUAAUUCCUUCUAAUGUUUUCUGUUCAUCUGUAUUUUGCCUGUUACCAAAUCAGAAAAACAUCCUGUGCAUAUUUCUGUGGGGUGAUUUCCUCUCUAAUUAUACUGUGUGACCCUGCAUCAUUAAACAGUGAUUGAAAACACUGUAAUUAAUGACUGUAUCAUGUUCCAUUUUAUGCACAGCUGUGUGAGGUGGUAUGUGUAGGGGUAUCAGAUCAUAGACAGGGUCAGACUCCCUGGGUCUGAACUGUGGCUCUGCUGACUGACAGCUGGGCGUCUAUGAGCAACUUACUGAAUGGCUGUGUUUCUGUUUCCUCAGUUCUCAAAUGAGAUUAAAAUCAAAUUCAUAGGGCUCUUUUCAAGAUCAACUGAAUGUGUUUAUCAAAUAUUUGGAAUAGUGUUGGGCUUAAGGUGAGUGUUAGACAUGAUAUCAUUAUCAUAUCAUGAUAUAAUGAUAUUAUUAAUAUGCUGUUCAAAAAGGUUAUUUUUCAUUUCUAUCACUGAAAAUUAAGUCUUUUUUCCAGCUGAAUAUUUCCUCAGAAGUAGAAAAACAGAGACAAGAGAAUUUAACAUACAAUUAAAUUGCGUUCCCCAAACGUUGCAAGAUUCUAUCUUCCCACUUCCAACUUAGGAGCUUGUCUAUCUCACCACAUUGUUGACGGCGCAGUUUCCUGUGGCAAUGAUCUUCAGGUGCUAACAAAUAUUUCUAGAAGAAAGAACUCCAUGGUCAUCUGGAAGUGUUAUGCUACACCCUUGGAGAGACAUCUUGCACAUUAGCUUGUGGAAGCAUCGGAACAUCAAAGUUUUAAUGCUAUUUCAUCCAGGGUUCUCAAAAAAGAUGUGAGCACAUAGAGAUACUUCCUCCUGCUCUUUAUUGAGAAGAACUUAUGACAGACACAGCAUUUUAAUGAAACCAUAACAAUUGUGAACUACUUUAUAUUAGUAGAUAAAUGACUAAAAAUAUAGAAUAUAUCCACUUGAGUCAAGUUAUAUCUCUCAAUAAUUUCAAAAGACAUGCUCUUUAGUUCAGUCUUUAAAAAUGAAGUAAUGAGUUCAGAGUCAAACACAACUUGUGGAGUGGAUUCUAUUUAGUUCUUUCACAACUUUUGAUACUGUUAGAUAUUUCACACUUGAAGCAACUACAAACAAUACAUAAGUAGAGCUACAGGUGGUUUCAUGUUUCAGUGAAACUCAGAGAGUUUCUAGACCUGACUGCUCCACUUCCAGUCCAUCUCCCUGCUAAUGAGCCAAGAAAAGUAUUGAACCCACAUAGGAGACCUGGCUCCUGGCUUUAUACUGGCCCAACUCCAGCUGUUGCGGCCAUCUGGGGAGUGAACCAGUGGAUGGAAGUCUCCACUCAAGUCUCCAUGUUCUCAUUUUGUUUGGAUCUCUCUUCUCUCUUACUCUGGUGUCCGUCAUGUUUUUCUCUUGCUGGUCCAUGGCAGAUGAGUCACUGCUGCCAAGUUCUCAGUUUCCCUUACCACUAUUUGGCAGUCACCCUUGCUAAUUUAUCAGUCUCUACGUCUACAACAGUCAAGCUUCAGUUGACUAACUCCUAAUUUACUAUGAAACAUAUUUUAUGAACUGCUCUUUUUCUUAAAAUUUUUUCUCUACUAAUUAAAUAGACAUAGUACUGAGGAGCUUGCUUCAUAUAUGAAAAUACUUUCAACCAAACCCCUUGCUAUUAAUUGUCUAUGCAUUUCUAUGACUUGCUCCAAAAUGCCAUGACUUCAAUCCUGACUCUAGAAGGUUGAGUGUUCCUUAGAGGAUUCCCCACCCAUGCUCAGGAAACUCUAUUACUGUAGAACAGCUUUUAUUCUCCUUCACCCCCUAUUUAUCUUACUGUAGUAAAUAGAGAUGAGUCAGUCUACUUGUUGUAAUAAGGAUACUUAAAAUGACAAAGUCUGCAUUUCAGAGAACCAGGUUUUAUAGUAUAUGACUUCUCGUUUACAUAAUGAGGCACUUAAGUGAUUUCUGGUGACAUCAAGAUUGGGACUUGGGAAAAAUAAAGCAAAUGGCUUUCCACUCUGGGAAAUAAUUGGUUCUUUUUUUUCCUUAAGAUUUAUUUAUUUAGUUGAAAGGCAGAGAGGGAGAAGCAGAGUCAGAGACAGAGAGAGAUUUUCCAUCCACUGGUUCACUCCCCAAAUGGCUGCGACAGCUGGGGCUGAGCUGAUCUGAAGCCAGGAGCCAGGAGCUUCUUCCGGGUCUCCCUUGUGGGUACAGGGGCCCAAGGACUUGGGCCAUCUUCCAAUAGUUUUCCUGGCUCACUAGCAAGGAGCUGGACUGGAGGUGGAGCAGCCAGGUCUAGAACUGGUGCCCAUAUGGGAUGCUGGUGCUGCAGGUGGUGGCCUUAACCUGCUAUGCCACAGUGUCAGCCCUGGUUGGACUUGCCAUAGGAACUAACUGAUGAGAUCUGGAACAUAGAUACUGUUGCCUACAGUUUUCAAUAUUGGGUGAGGAUUAUGAUGUGAUUUAUUUCAGAAAAGAACACGGUUUAAUGUAUGAGUUAUACAUGGGAUAAAUUCAAGGCUCCAUUGCAAGGAAUAUACAAUACCUGCAUACCAUCUGUACAGUUUGUAAGCUUAAUAGAUGUUUUACAAAUUAGGUGCUCGAAGAAUACAAUGGUCAGCAAGAUAGUAUCUCUGCUUAUAUUUUGGUAGGAAAGACAUAAAACAAAUGAAUAAAUAAAUAAUGGAAACCACAGAUAAGGAUGACACUGCUCCACAGAGGAUUAAAAUGAGUUAAUAGAAAGUGUUCCAUAGCUGAGGCAGCUCAUGUCAAGAGCCUUAGGUGAUUACUGAUGUCAUACAUAAGAGUGUUAAUUGUUAAAUAAACAAUAAGAGUCACUGUGCACCAACUUCCCAUGCAGGACCUCUGUCCCUAAAGAGUUGUAUCAUGAGACUUAAUAGUCAAACUUGUUCUCAAGAAUCACUUCCUUUUAGUGUAUUAAAUGGGGAUAUCAUUAUGUCUCAUAAGUUAUACUUAUGUCUAAGAGCUCACAAAAGAUGUAUCAUCCUUGGGUUCUUUUUUAAAGACAAUUAAGUUUUCUAAAAGGAAAGAAGAGGAGGAAGGAAGGGAAAAGAGAAAGGGGGGGAAAAGCGAAAUCACCUUUGAGAAGCAACAACAGAACAGCCCUUGUCUAGACUUUUGAGUUUUUUUAAUUCCAUUCUUCCUUUUUUUCUUUCUUUCUGUUUCUUUUUCUUUCUAGGACUAAACAGAAGAAGGA